GGAUGUGAGGGGGAUAGGUUGCUACAUCUGUCACCCUGCUGACCUGACCUCCAGGGUUGAUUCUGCUGAUCUGACUGGCUAGGCAGGUGAGGGUUCCUCUCUCACCAUUCCAUGUGUAUCCUUCCAGAAGCUGUGCACUGGGUGGAAGAGGACAGCCUUUCCCCGAAUAGAGACAAGGUCUUCAAUCAAAGGUAUAUGAGUAGCUGCACUCCCCUGCUAAAACUUCCAAAUAAGUUCUCAAAAGUGCAUUCCCUGAGUCCAUCUAGGAAAGCAACUUUCACAAAUCUGAUUCUAAGACAGUGGACUAAAGCGAGUUAUGUAAAGAGUUAGGCUUU
rfam:Erinaceus europaeus unplaced genomic scaffold scaffold00462, whole genome shotgun sequence